CUUUGGCCCAUUUUAAAGCAAAUUACCCACUUUGCGGGGGGGGGGUGGAUCUGAAAGCUUUGCCCCUCUAGUUUCACAGACAAUAGACGAAGGGAAACAAAAGCUGUUACAGCACAAGCUAAUCAAUGUUGAAAGCCUGUGCCAUCUCUCCAGAAAGCGAAAAAUGGAGGAUCCCAGAGCGAAGAGACAAAAGAAUUAAUUCAGGGAUGACUGGGAGUGGCCCAAGAACAACGAAUGAGGAAGCAAAAAAUGGCUCUAUUAUUACAGAUUUAAAAAUUAGAGAAAGGACGCAAUUAGCGCCCCAUAUGGGCUUGUUUCAGCUUUAGAUGGCCCAAAAUCCUUUCCGCGCGGGAAUUCCACAGGGCGGAGACCUCGGUUCCCCCCCUCUACGCGAGCUAGAGAAAGGAAAGCCGAAGCCGCAGUUUCUCUGGAAGGUUCCGAGAGAAGCGCGCGCACCCCUUCACUGGCCGACGGGAGACCCGACACCAGGUGGCGCUGCCGCACUGAGAGCUGGGGCCUGGGCCGCUGGGGAGACGGGAAGAGGCGUCACCGGAUCCUACCUUUCGCUCCAGCCACCGGAAAUGCGCGUUCGCACCAGCCUCUGGAUCCUGUGAAUAUGGAGAGUCCUACCCCUUAAGAAAAUCAACAGAAGAAAGGUAUCCAUAGAAACAAAACUGAAAACACCUAGAAUCUUGAUGGUGUACCAAAUCAAAUGUCAACUGGAAUGCGACUAGAAGCAAAGGUAGGUGACUUUGUUACAGAUGCCUUGGUGAGAGAACCAUGUGCUCCUUGUGAAAGUAAGGACAAAACUGCAUUCAUAUGUUCUUUAGUAUUCUUGUUGUUUUUAAAAGUUAACAUUAAGUGUACCCAUUUUUUAUUACAACACGAGGAACUAUGUAGCAAAUAUAUGUAUUUGUUAAUAUUUACAAAAUAGGAAAAAAUGCUGCUUUCUGUUAAGGUAACAUGUUUAGUCCAGUGUGGUAAGUAGAGUCACAACAGGGUACUACAUGCACUUCAGUUAAUCCUUCCAUCCUUAGCGAAAAGAUGCAUUGUAGUUGCAAAUUUCCUUGACUGUUCUUAGAAAAGUCUUCCUAUUGACCUAGACUGUUUUCCCAUGGUUCAGGGGGCCAGAAAAGAUAUGAGGCUGUGAAACACAUCUAAAAACAUCAACUCUUAACAUUAAACAUAUUGUAAGUAGUUGCUUUAUUUCUACCAAC
rnacentral:lncRNA from 1 species